GGGUGAGUAACGCGUGAGUAACCUGCCUUCAAGAGGGGGAUAACAUUCUGAAAAGGAUGCUAAUACCGCAUGAUAUAUCGGAACCACAUGGUUUUGAUAUCAAAGAUUUUAUCGCUUGAAGAUGGACUCGCGUCCGAUUAGUUUGUUGGUGAGGUAACGGCUCACCAAGACCGCGAUCGGUAGCCGGACUGAGAGGUUGAACGGCCACAUUGGGACUGAGACACGGCCCAGACUCCUACGGGAGGCAGCAUG
rnacentral:rRNA from 1 species